rnacentral:lncRNA from 1 species
GUAGUUGAGGGUGGGACACACCUGGGCACACCUGGGGCCACACCUGGGCAUACCUGGGCACACCUGGGCAUACCUGGGCACAUUUGGGGACACCUGGGCAUACCUGGGCACACCUGGGGCCACACCUGGGGCUGGGGGGUCUCAAGGGGCCCUUCCGGACCCCCCCCAGCCCCCCUGACCCCCUGACCCCCCCCCCAGGAUCAACAACGACCUCCUGCUGUGGGAGCCGGCCGGCCCCGCCCCCUCCGGAGACCACGCCCACUCCGGAGACCACGCCCCUUCAGGGGUCCACCCCCACUCUGGAGACCACGCCCCCUCCAUAGACCACGCCCCACCAGAAGGCCCCGCCCCCUUCAGGCCGUGCCGGUCGGCGCUGGGCUCAGACUCGGACGAGGACGACGAGGAUGAGGAUGAGGAGGGGGACAAAGGUUCCGGGGGGUCCCCGCAGGACCCCGGGGACCCCCGCGGGCCCCCCCCGAGCGGCGGCGCCAUCCUGGUCACCGUGCCCUGGGGGCGCGUCACGGCCGAGUGUCCCCCCGAGGGGGGGGUCCCCGGCUCGCGGCUGGAGCUGGAGUUGGGGGAGGGGCGGCUCUGCGUCCUCCCCCGCCCGGGGGGGGUCCGGGGCCGGUCCUGGGCCUGCGCCGACGCCCGGAGCUUCGUCCUGCUGCACGGUACCCCAAAA